GGCGCAUGGAGGCUUGCAUGGAAAGCUGCCCAAGCCAGGCAAUGUAUGACUGGGUUGGAUUCCCUACAUCGAGGCCCUGAAAGGUAUGGUGGUGUCCACCUGUGAUUCUGAACUUGGGAGGCUACGAUAGAGUCACUACAAGUUUGAGGCCAGCAAGGGUAACAGAUUGAUCUUCCUGCCUAGGAAUGGUGCUGCCCACAGUGGGCUUAAUCCUCCCACAUUAAUCAUCAGUCAAGACAAUUCCUCAGUUCAGAUUUCCUCUUCCCAGCAAAUAAUUGCUCAGAAAGAUAAGCAGUUGAAGGAGAUCCCUCUGGCCCAAGAAUUCUACCAUGUUGCCCAGAAACAGGAGGCCUGGGAACUACAUCAGGGGCUCAGUCACCUGCCAGGUAGUUUUGAGCCACUGUAAGAGCUGUGCCAGGAAUGCAUAAACUAAAGGCCCCAUGAGCGACAUAAGCCUGUCACACACUGCCAUUCUUCAGGGUGUAUAGAGAAGAACCAUAUUCAGGUCAAGAUGACAGAAUUGCUCCAGGGGACCAAAGUUUUAGUGCCAACUGUAGAAUUGAAUCUAGAAGCAGGAGAAAAUGGGGAGAAAUGUGAACUUUUGAAUAACAUUCAGAAUUCACUCACCUUCGGAAUGAGAAAUACCAAAGCUAGAAGCAACAACGCACCGAUGGUUGCUCAACCAGUGAAUGCUGAAUUCAAACCCACUCAGCCAGUCAGCUGGUUUAGACACUUGACUGACAAUCCCUGGGAAGAUACUUUCAACAGUUGCACUGGUGACUCCGCUCAUGCUCACUUGGACUCAAGCUCAGAGAACAGAGUCUGCACCAGAGGGAACAAGAGUUCCCAGAAGACCUUGUAUCAGGGUUUAUAUGACCAGUUUUGCAUUUGCUUGGCAAGAGCUAACCAGUCACAUGCUCCCACCCACACAGAAGGAAGUACAACCUCACUUUGUCCAGAAUGGGACACUUUGUGCUUUGGAAAUGUUUGGGGAUGGAGCCGAUGGUUCAGUGGUUCAAUGUGUGUGUGUGUACCUGUGUGCAUAUGUAUUGCAAUGAAUGUGGAUUUAUGUGUAUUGUAAUGGGUGUGUGUGCUUGUGUAUGUGUGUCUUGUGAUGUGCUUGUGUAUUGUGGUCUGUGUAUUGUAUAUGUGUGUGAGUUGUGAUAUGUGUGUAUUGUGAUGUGCAUGUCUGUGUGUGUGCAUGUGUGUUUGUAUUGUGAUGUGUGUAUUGCAAUGACUGUUUAGCCUGGCCUUGUUCUUGAGUGAGGCUCUGAUACCCAUCUGACAAUUUCUGUCCCUUCUGUUCUUCUUCACACUAUUGAAGUCCACUCCCUGCCAUCUGGUUACGGACUCUUCCUUCCUUGUAGAUAGCCCUUGGAUGACAACUAAUGAUGACUAAAGUCUAGUCACUUUUUAAGCAAAGGUUAGGGUUUCUAUUGUUGUGAUAAACCGACAUUCCCACAAGUGGAAAGAGCUUAUAGUCUUCACAGCACACUUGAUCACUGAGGAAAAUCAAGGAGGGAACUCAAGGCAGAAGCUUGGAGACAGGAACUAAAACAGAAGCCGUGGAGGAGCGCUGCUCAGCCUGCUUUGUUUUACACUCAGGACCACCUGCUCAUGGCUGGCACCACCAGCCAUGGACUGGGACCUCUCACCUCAUUCAUUAAGCAGGACCCCAGUCUUGCAGACAGGCCAAUUAUACGAAGGCAUUUUCUCAAUUAAGAGUCCCUUUUCCCUGUGUCAAAUUGACAAAAACCACAGGAGAAUGGGAACAGUUCUCCGGUAAAGUAUAUUUAACAUGAAUUUGAUCCUUUGGUCAUUAAAGAGUCUAUCUGAAGGGC
ensembl:lincRNA